CGAUUGGUUCAAGUCCCUCUAUCCCCA
rnacentral:tRNA from 1 species